AGUGAACGCUGGCGGUAGGCCUAACACAUGCAGGUCGAACGGCAGCACAGUAAGAGCUUGCCCUUACGGGUGGCGAGUGGCGGACGGGUGAGGAAUACAUCGGAAUCUACUUUUUCGUGGGGGAUAACGUAGGGAAACUUACGCUAAUACCGCAUACGACCUACGGGUGAAAGCAGGGGAUCUUCGGACCUUGCGCGAUUGAAUGAGCCGAUGUCGGAUUAGCUAGUUGGCGGGGUAAAGGCCCACCAAGGCGACGAUCCGUAGCUGGUCUGAGAGGAUGAUCAGCCACACUGGAACUGAGACACGGUCCAGACUCCUACGGGAGGCAGCAGUGGGGAAUAUUGGACAAUGGGCGCAAGCCUGAUCCAGCCAUACCGCGUGGGUGAAGAAGGCCUUCGGGUUGUAAAGCCCUUUUGUUGGGAAAGAAAAGCAGCAGGUUAAUACCCCGCUGUUCUGACGGUACCCAAAGAAUAAGCACCGGCUAACUUCGUG
rnacentral:rRNA from 1 species